rnacentral:rRNA from 1 species
AUUGAACGCUGGCGGCAUGCCUUACACAUGCAAGUCGAACGGUAACAGGUCUUCGGAUGCUGACGAGUGGCGAACGGGUGAGUAAUACAUCGGAACGUGCCUAGUAGUGGGGGAUAACUACUCGAAAGAGUGGCUAAUACCGCAUGAGGUCUACGGAUGAAAGCAGGGGAUCGCAAGACCUUGUGCUAGUAGAGCGGCCGAUGGCAGAUUAGGUAGUUGGUGGGAUAAAAGCUUACCAAGCCGACGAUCUGUAGCUGGUCUGAGAGGACGAACAGCCACACUGGGACUGAGACACGGCCCAGACUCCUACGGGAGGCAGCAGUGGGGAAUUUUGGACAAUGGGCGCAAGCCUGAUCCAGCAAUGCCGCGUGCAGGAUGAAGGCCUUCGGGUUGUAAACUGCUUUUGUACGGAACGAAAAGCCCUGGGUUAAUACCCUGGGGUCAUGACGGUACCGUAAGAAUAAGCACCGGCUAACUACGUGCCAGCCGCCGCAGUAA